UACAGAGGCCUCGAGCGUUAGGCGGAAUCACUGGGCUUAAAGCGUGUGUAGGCGGAUUGGUAAGUACCUUGUGAAAUCCCACAGCUUAACUGUGGAACUGCUCGGCAUACUGCUGAUCUUGAGCCACUCAGGGGCUACCGGAACAAAUGGUGGAGCGGUGAAAUGCGUAGAUAUCAUUUGGAACGCCAAUGGUGAAAACAGGUAGCUGGGGGUGUGCUGACGCUGAGACACGAAAGCCAGGGGAGCAAACGGG
rnacentral:rRNA from 1 species